rnacentral:rRNA from 1 species
UACGUAGGUGGCAAGCGUUGUCCGGAUUUACUGGGCGUAAAGAGCGCGCAGGCGGUCGGAUAAGUCGAAUGUGAAAGCCCCCGGCUCAACUGGGGAGGGUCAUUCGAUACUGUUCGGCUCGAAGGCAGGAGAGGGAAGUGGAAUUCCCGGUGUAGUGGUGAAAUGCGUAGAUAUCGGGAGGAACACCAGUGGCGAAGGCGACUUCCUGGCCUGUUCUUGACGCUGAGGCGCGAAAGCUAGGGGAGCAAACAGG